rnacentral:tRNA from 1 species
CGGGACGUAGUUCAGCCUGGUAGAGCGCUUGCAUGGGGUGCAAGAAGCCGGAGGUUCAAAUCCUCUCGUCCCGACCA